GGCCAUAUCACGUUUAUACAGUUUCUCAUAGGAUCACCAAAGUUAAGCAAUGUUGAGCUUGGUCACUACUUAGAUGGGUGACUGCCUGGGAAUACCAGGUGUUGUAAGC